rnacentral:rRNA from 1 species
CCUACGGGUGGCAGCAGUGAGGAAUAUUGGUCAAUGGGCGCGAGCCUGAACCAGCCAAGUCGCGUGAGGGAAGACGGUCCUAUGGAUUGUAAACCUCUUUUGUCGGGGAGCAAAAGACGCCACGCGUGGCGUUCCGCGAGUACCCGCAGAAAAAGCACCGGCUAACUCCGUGCCAGCAGCCGCGGUAAUACGGAGGAUGCGAGCGUUAUCCGGAUUUAUUGGGUUUAAAGGGUGCGCAGGCGGAAGAUCAAGUCAGCGGUAAAAUUGAGAGGCUCAACCUCUUCGAGCCGUUGAAACUGGGUUUCUUGAGUGAAUGAGAAGUAUGCGGAAUGCGUGGUGUAGCGGUGAAAUGCGUAGAUAUCACACAGAACACCGAUUGCGAAGGCAGCUUGCCAGGCUAUUACUGACGCUGAGGCACGAAAGCGUGGGGAGCGAACAGGAUUAGAUACCCUAGUAGUC